rnacentral:lncRNA from 1 species
CAAUAGGAUUCUGCCUCUGUGCUGAUUAAAAACACUCUUGCAUUUGCACCAAAUUAGUCCCUAUUCUCCAAAAACUGCGAGUUGCAAAGGAUGGCUGUACCAGGGCCUUUGGGAGUAUCACCUUUGGUCUGCAACAGCGCAGGCAGGUGACUGAAAAAUGACAGCGUUAAAAGUGCCCAGAGUUCCUUUCGUUCAGUGGGUUAAGGAUCCUGCCUUGUCACUGCAGCGCGGGUUGAGGCUCUCUGGCACCGGUUUGAUCCGGGUCCGGGAACUUCCACAUGCCGCAAGUGUGAUCAACGCCCCGCCCCGCCAAAAAACCCCCCAUAAAACCAAAUUUAAAAAAAAAAAAAAAAAAAAAAGGUGCCCCUUUCCUCUAAGCAAAAGGCAAAAACAUGGUAACGAGCUGCUCGGAACCUCACCGGGUGAAAGCCCCGCCUGUGCCUCUGGCCAAGUAAACGCCCUUUCUCGCCGCCCCAGGCUGAGUUCCAGAAGUAACUCCAGGCUAGCACAAAGCUUCUCCAGACGUGCCAUCUCACACCUUGAGAGCAAAUGCCUGCCAGAACCCCCAAACUCAAAACUGCCCCCCUGAAUGCCAGCCGAGGAGGCGCCGGAGGCAGGAAGGCGACACCUCGCCUGCCAAGGGAGGUGCGGGGCGCAGAUGAAAAUCACUCCCUUUGGAGCCAAGUCAAGCUUGUGUAAAUGUUUUCUAGAAGCGGGCAGGCUGUAAAUUCUUGGGGAAAAAAAAUGAAGCAGGAGUGGGGCGUUGCAGGCAGAAAGGCACGCGGCUCUCCCGGAAGGGACACGCCAACGGCAGGGCCCCGGGAGAUGGAGCCACACGGAUUCCAGGCGCUCCUGGCGGUCCCCCUGGCGAGGCCAGGAAUGCCAGAUAACAGUGCUGGGCCCAGCCCCACGGUGGCAGGCGUGUCCCAGCCACGGCAACCGUCCCAGGCAGCCCACACGAGCAGGACUGCUCCCACUCGGGCCCCUGUCCCUUCCAGCCAACGCCCCGUCCCAGCAAGCGCCCUAUCUUGGCAGCCCUUCCCUUUCGGGCACUCCUGACUCUGCCAACACCCGAGCCGCCCAGGAAGGCAGGAGGCCCCGGGGCUGACUCCAAGGCCACCUGGGCUGGCCCGCCACGAGCCCGCUUCCAACCAUCACUGAUUCUCCAAGGGCAGAAGCAGCCAAUAUUCCUCUAACCUGCAAACAGUCUUGCCCCGGGCCUGCCUGCCCUUCCCCGGGCUCGCUGCUCCCCACUGGAUGCCCUCUCCUCUCACGGAGUGCCAUGCGGGCCCUCUGGGACUUUUCCUGGCUGGCAAGUCCCUGGUCUCAGCUGCUGGUCUUUGCAGCCCACACAGGCUCCCUGCUUACCUUCCUUCCAAACAGCCCCAAGGCUUGUUCAGUCCAGACCGGUUGGACCCACGUUUCCAUGAAGAAAGCCUUCAACCCCAGGACGCAGCAUCCCUGGGCAGGGCGUGUCUGCCCCCCAGGGACCCAGCCUCCCUCUCCGCACAGAAGGUGGAUCUUCCCAGCUCAGUAAGGGACUUUGGUUCCACCAAAAAAAGGCCAGGGCUAUGUAAACAGGAGGGUGGGGUUUCCUGCAAUCAGGUUUAGUGAAAUUUGAACCCUGGAGGCGGAGGAGGCGGGGCAAAGGCUUCCACUCCGGAGCCACUCAGCCAGACCUCUGCUCCCUUCCAAACCUUCCCAGCUGACAACCUGGCCUGCAGAGCCAGCACUACCCUGCUUGGGUUUACAAACCAGUUUCGGCCAUCCUUUGCGUCCCUGAGCACAUCAGCCACUGGCUGACACCCUCCAUCUCCGGGGCUGUGACUCUCCUCCCUGCUGGGUCGCUGCCGGGGUUAACUGCACAUGGCCUAUCUUGCAGGGCUUCCUUGCACACUCAGACCACCACGCUCUGCCCAGCAGCACCUCUGCACCUCAAGCCUGUACAUGUGCAGCUUAGGUGGCCCAAGGGUUUACCCUCUGCUUUGACUGCCUCUCGGUCACAGCACAGCCACACACCCUGGGUCUUUCGAUGACAAGCGCCAGCAAGCAAAGCCCGUCCCAACGCCUUUAGGUUCCCACAGCACAAAUGUCACCACCCCAUCAGCCUGAGAUAGGAGACAGAACACAGCCAGGAGGUCACCAUGGGUACGGAUUUCCUCAACAAAUCCCCCGAAAAGGCCAUCAAGGCACACAUCACCUUUGCACUGGAGGGGAAAACCAUCUCUUUUAUCGCGGGACACAAAGCGCUUGUUAUGCAAGGUCUGUUCCGCUGGGUGUUCGGUAAAGGGUAUUGACCAACCCGCCUUCCUUGGAAGGGAACCGACAUCCCUGUGCCCACUCUGCAAAUAACACCGUCGCGGCCAGAAAGGAAGUGACUAACUGAUGGCGUAGUACUUAUCUUCAAAGAUUUUACAUCAAAAGGAAAGAGAUUAGAAAUGGAAAUCCGAGAGAUCAGGUUUAACAGCGGAGCUGAAUGGGGCCUUACCACGUGAUAGCCAAGGCCAAGGCCAGGGGGGUGGGAGUCCCGGCCCUCUACAGGACAAGGUUUUAAAAUCAGACCUUUGCACCUCAAUUGCUUUUUUUUUUUUUUUUUUUUUUCUUUUUGCCAUUUCUUGGGCUGCUCUCAUGGCAUAUGGAGGUUCCCAGGCUAGGGGUCGAAUCAGAGCUAUAGCCACAGGCCUACGCCAGAGCCACAGCAACACGGGAUCCAAGCCGCGUCUGCAACCUACACCACAGCUCACGGCAACACCGGAUCCUUAACCCACUGAGCAAGGCCAGGAACCGAACCCGCAACCUCAUGGUUCCUAGUCGGAUUCGUUAACCACUGCGCCACGACGGGAACUCCUGCACCCCAAUUGUUUAAAAAAAAAAAAAAAAAAAAAAAAGCUAAGUACCCACAACAAUGAGGAAGAGACAAAACAUCUGUACGCUCCACUGAGGUCCCUUGGCUCCAUUUCUAACAGAACCAAGUCGCAUGACUGGUUGUGUGUCUAAAGGAGCCUGGUCUUUCCUGCGGCUCCUUUUCCACCCUCCUAUGGGGCACAGGGUGGGUUUUCCUGGCAUUGACAGCAGCCUCACCCAUGAGCUAUGACAGCCUCCAUGAAUACCUGCAGCGGGCACCAAUCUGGCCUUCCGAUCUUGGCGGUUACGCAGCCGAUGGCCUCCCAGGGCUCGAGCUCAACACACUAUCCUGUUCCCUGGCGCCCGCCUGCGGGUGUGGAUCACACACAGCCCAUGCAGGCGGGUGGUGCUAACUUCUCCUGCAACAACGCGGUCUUGUGAGGCGUUGCUGAUGUGCGGCCAAAAGGGAGCUCUGUGUCUCAGUGUUUGGAAACGCCUCAAACUUUUCAACCGCACAGAGGUGGCAUUUUAUACCUGGGGUGACAGAGCGAACACAGAAAAUACUUUCCCUGACAGUAGUUGGCAAAGUGGGACAGGAGGCCUGCAGAACGUUCAGCGGGAGGCUCUGUGGGGAGCCGCAGGACAGAAGAAACAGCCAGAAGGGGAGACCAACCAGGAAAGCAGUAGAAGAAGUGGAAACUUCACAGCACAGUAGACAAGAUCGGCGGUGUGAGACCAACUUAAGGUCAAAACGUGUACGGGACUCUUCACAGCGGCAUGAAUUCCAACAGCCAAAAAGUAGAAAUAACCCAAACGCCCACCUGUGGAUGAACAAAUCGACACACUGUGGUGUGGCCACACUCUGGAACAUUAUGCAGCCCUAAAAAAAGGAAUGACGUAUGAAACCAACGUGCAUGCACCCUCAAAUCAUCAGGCAAAGUGAAAGAAGCCUGUCACAAAAGGCCACACACGGCAUGAUUACACCCAUGUUAAACGUCAGACGAGGGAAAGUGACGGCGACAGCAGACAGGUGGUCGCCUGAAGCCGGCAGCGGGAGGGCUGGGAGUGACUGCCGGGGGCACAGGGUUCUAGAUGGAACAACCCGAAGCUUUGGGUUGCCCUUGUCAAGGAGUUAAGGUCUGUAUCUUUCCUGUGUUAGUGACAUCGUCAGAAUGUCUCAGCCCUGACUUGGCAGAGAUGCCCCUGAUGGCAGGGAUGCAGAAUGGAAGACUGCCAUCUGCCCAUUACUGGCAACAGAAAGUUCUCCCCACGGAGGACACACAAGGAAAUUCAACAGGUUUGAUCUGAGCGGAAUUCACGCAGCCAACGUGCCAGCUCCAGGCUAAGCGGGGAGCAAGCCAGGAGGGGCUUGACUGAGAGGCAAUUUGAUAAAGGCAGGUCUGCGUGCAAGAGCUUUUAAAGAAGGGAACAAAGAGCAAACCCCCGGCCACACCACCUUUACACACUCUGCAGCUCACACUCACGUAGAAGCUGCAUGAUUUAGGGUCUUGGGGAGAUGGGGGUGGGGGUGGGGAGCCGAGCCCACUUCAAAGUUCAUCUCUCAGAAAACCCAUCAAAAGCCAGAACUAAACUGCUGUCCCCAAGGCAGGGCAUCAGUGACAGAGUCCGAAGAUCCGUGUUCCAGAGGCAGGAUCCAGGGAACAGGCAGGGAUCCUGGGUGCCUGCUGCUUAAGCCAGUGCAGCAUCAAAGGGCAGGAGCUAUGCCGAAGCCUCUCAUAAAUGGGAAGAGGAAAGUGAGAGCUGAAGAAACACCCACUUGGCUGGAAUCUAGGAAGAUACUGGAGCUGCAGGCACACCAACAGCUACCUGUCUUUCAGACGCCUGCCCAGAGCACAGGACACAAGGACUCCCGAAGUGGGUCCCAUGGCCCGAGGCAUGUUCGCAGGCUGGG